rnacentral:lncRNA from 10 species
AUCUAUCUCAAGGCAUGCACACUGGUUUUCUCAUUAGCAUCAAACUCUCACCUCUUCCAUUUGAUUAGCUGGGCAGUUUUAUUGCUAGCAGAGAAAUGGAAUAGUUUUAAGACAUUCAAGCAAGUAAUUAAACAUGGAGUGCUUCAGAGUAUUUGACAGAAAUGCAAACUAGACAAUCAUCAACCAAGUCAUACUUAACUGCAGUUAAUACAGAGUCUCUAAGGCUUCCUGGCAUGUAGACCUGGGCCAAGGUAGGUUCAAUAUCUUCAGUAAUUUUUUUUUCCAGAUCCAUGGUAGUUAUACCUGGUUGACCCUGAGACUCACCUAAGAAUCUUUUUAAUAAUCCCUAUUCCUCAAACUCAACCCAGAUUCACUGAAUCAAAAUCUCCCAGCAUGGCAUUUACCAAUUGUUACAGUUCAAAGUUCCCCAGGUAAUUCUCCUGUAUGCCGACGUUUGUAACCCAUGGCAUGUAUGCUAUGGUAAGUACCUACUUAAGUACCAAGAUAUACAACUCACUAAAUCUAUUCAUGAUGCCUAUUUCAUUUUCCAUUUUAUAAUGUCUCAAAAAUUACUUAUUUUGAUAAUAUCCCAUCUAAAAAUAAAUAGCGGUAAUGCCUUUUCUUUUAGUUUCAUCAGUUUACAGGAACAGACUAAUGUUUUUGAGACCACUUAUAUACCUGUGUUUUCAACAUUUUCAAUGAAGGAAUAGCAAUAAUCAUGAUUAUUAUAAUGAUUAUAAUAUUCUGGAUGCUGUUAUCAGUGCUUUAAGCAUAUUAAUUCAUUUAGUCUUUAAAACAACCCAGUGAACUAGGUAAUAUUACUCUUUCUCUUUCAUGAAUGAGGAAACGAAGCAUUAGUGAUGUUAAUAUGUUCAUGGAUAUAUAUCUCUAGGUGUUAGAGCUUGGAUUUGAACUCAGCAUACUGAGCUUUAAGUCCAUACCUUGUGUGAUUAUUUUAACUUAUUUUACUCCUUGGAAGUGAAGAGUUUUUUAGAACUGAAUCAUUUUUUAGGAUGUUUUCUUGCUGAUCGCCAGUGCAGGUUCACACCAGGAUGUGAUGGUGAAUCCCAUAGUUCUUGAUCCAAUCUCUGGCUCAGUAGGUAAAAGAAGGGAUUUGUGGAUAGGUACCAAGAUGUGUUUUCUUGCAGCAGUUACUUGGAGCCAUACAGCAUACUGUUCAUUAGACAACAUGCAGCCUAGUGUAAGAAUCUGGCAGAGUCUGAAAGGAUACGUGUUGGCAUGAAUCUCAGUCUGUCUUUGUGUGUGUCUGCUAGUCUGAGUGCUAUCUGAUUGGACCAGGGAACGAAUUUGAGGAGCAUGCCAACGUGGCUUGGCUCUUUUUAAAGACACCUGUCAACACUUGGCAAGGGCUCAGAGAGUGCAGCCAUUAAGUGACCACAGGAUCAUUUAUACUUCCCCAAAUGAAAUCAUAAAUGCAGAAAAAUGUAUGAUAAUUAGAGGAACGAUCUUUAAAAUUAAGUUAUUUUUUAAAACAAGUCAUCUUUCUAUAUCUACCAGAUAAACCUAGAGGCUCUAUUUCCUCUUUGCUGGAUGUUCUGUUUUCACAAGGUUCAUAUUAAUUUUAUAAAUAUGCUGACAAAAUAAUAUAUUGGCCAGUUACAAUCAUGUUAGAUUUGGUUGUUUAUUGUUCUAUCAUUUUACUCUAUUUAUUUUACUUUGUUUUAUUUUAUCAUUUUUGAGAGGGAGGCUUGUUCUGUCACCAGGCUGGGGUGCAGUGUCGUGAUCUUGGCUCACGGCAACCUCCACCUCCCGGGUUCAUGCAAUUCUCCUUCCUCAGCCUCCCGAGUAGCUGGGACUACACAUGCGCACCACCACACCAGCCUAAUUUUUGACAUUUUUAGUAGAGACAGGGUUUUGCCAUGUUGGUCAGGCUGUUCAUUUGAACCUCCUGACCUCAAGCAAUCCUCCUGCCUCAGCCUCCCAAAGUGCUGGGACGUGAGCCACCACGCCUGGCUCUUCUACCAUUUUAAAAGAUGAUUUUCUGGUCAUAUUAUCCUUUGGAAUAUAGCAGCUUAAAUUCCUUUAAAUCCAGCUUGAUUCAGAGACUUCUCUUCCCAAAAAACAUUGCAAAGUGCAUAUCAUAAAAAUAACUCUUUGCAUAAAAUCCUUAGAAAUUUUGGGGAAAAAUUAUGCCAUGUCCUUUAAAACACACAUUUGAUUUAACAAGGAAGUAGGAGGAUUUUAAGAUGACCAAUUUGUCCCAGUUUGUUCAAGACUGUCCAAAUGUUAAAACUGAAAGCCCCAUGUCUUGGGAACUGCUUCAACUCUAGGUAACUGGUACCACUGGCUCAUUAACUUUCUACUGUUGUAUAGUGCCUUACUACAAAUUUAACAACUUAAAACCGUACACAUAUUUAUUAUAUCUCGGGUUUUUUUAAGCCAGAAGUCUGGGCAUGUCUUAGCUGUGAGUCCUCUACUUAGGGAAUUACACUGCUGCAAUCAAGAUUUUGGGUCCACUGCUUUUUCAUCUAUAGGCUCAAUUGGAGAAUAUACUUAGUAACUUAUUCCAGUGCAUCACAAAAUUCAUUUCCUUGCUGCUGCAGGACUGAGGUCCUCAUUUUGCUGUUGGUUGUCAGCCAGAGGCUGCUCUCGAUUCCUGGAGGUCAUCAACAGAUCCAUGCCAUGGAGAUCUCUCCGUUGUUCUUCUUAAAACUUGGCAGCUCAUUUCUUCCAAUCUACAAAUGGAGAGAGACACUCUCUCUAUUAAGAUAAAUUCUUUCAAUGAUCAAUAGAGUUUAAACAGGAAUUUCCAUUGUCAAGCUUCUUGUAGAAUGGCAGUGUCCAACAAAUACCUGGAUCGUGGCCUAGUGAAACUUCGAAGCAGAAGACCUAGGUAAGCUACACCUAGACUUCCAACCAAUAGAAUUGUUUGAUUUUAAAAUGUGUGUUGUUUUGAACUUACGGGUUUGUGGUAAUUUGUUAAGCAGGAAUGGAAAACUAAUAGAGUUGGUCACUGAUAUUUGGAUUUAUGUCCUCACUAAAUCUCAUGUAGAAUUGUAAUCCCCAAUGUGGGAGGAGGAGGCUGGUGGAUUGGAUCAUGGGGACGCACUUCUCACUUGCUGAUUUUGUGAUACUGACUGAGUUCUCAGGAGGUCAGGUUGUUUAAAGUUUGUAGCACUUCCCCCUUUGCUCUCUCUUCCUCCUGCUCCAGUCAUGGAGGAUGUGCUGGCUUCCCCUUUGCCUUCCUCCAUAAUUGUAAGUCUCCUGAGAGCUCCCUGGCCAUGGCUCCUGUACAGCCUGCAGAAAUGUGAGCCAAUUGAACAUCUUUUCUUUAUAAAUUACCCAGUUUCAAGUAUUUCUUUAUAGCAGUGCAAGAAUGGAAUAAUAUAGUCACUCUAGAGUUUAACCAGGAGCCCUUCCUCCUUGGACCUGUCACACACACACACACACACACACACACACACACACACACACACACACACACACACACAAAGGAACCAUAGUAGGUAGUUGCUCUAGGUGGAUAUAGACUUGGGAUUUAAGGUCCAGGCUGGGGAAAGGGAUCAAAAUUAGGCUUUUCCAAAGGGGGAUGUAGAACUAAGACACACUCCAAAUUUUUUUCAUAAUUUUCAUAUUUCAGCUGAAGUCAAAAACAGUAGAAAAAUGCAUACAACUUACUGAGAGAAAACAAUUCCCCAGAACAUUUUAUAGCCAGUUAAACUAUUUUUUAAAAAUAAUUUCAAUUUUUAUUUAAAUACAGGUACAUGUGCAGGUUUGUUACCUGGGCAUAUUACGUGAUGCUGAAGUUUGGGGUAGCAAAGACACAGAAUCAACCCAGGUACCCAUGCCUAUCAACAGUGAAUUGAAUAAAGAAAUUGUGGUACAUAUACCCCAUGGAACACUAUGCAGCUAUAAAAAAAGAAGAGUGGAAUCACAUUCUUUGCCACAGCAUGGGUGCAGCUGGAGCCAAUAACCUAAGCAAAUUAGCAUAGAAACAGAAAACAAAAUACUCUAUGUUCUUACUUAUAAGUGGGAGCUAAACAUGGAGCACAUGUGGACAUAAAUGUGGGAACAAUAGACACUAGAAACUAACGGGUAGGGAAGGAGGGGCCCAGGGUUGAAAAACUAUUUUAAAAUAUAAAAGAUAUUAAACAGUGUUAAGAAAAAUAAAAAAUGAAUUUGGUCUCUAACAAUAGACUCCUCACUAAAGGAACUUCCCAAAGGUGAACAUAAGAAGUACAACAAAAAAAAAUCCUAGAGUUAAGUUCUUAUAUGAAAGAAGUAAUAGUGAGCAUUUAAACUGCUAAGCACAAAAAUGAAUCUCAAUAAAUAUUAAUCAAAAUUACAAAUUGUCGUCACUACUAAUUUGGAAGGCAUAAUAAUGAUGUAGGAGUAAAAUAAUCAACAGUAAUAUCAUGUAAGAUGGGAAAGGCCACCAGAGUCAAAUGCAUGUUCUUAUUUCUUUCCUUCUUUUUUAGAGACAGAGUCUUGCUAUGUUGCCCAAGAUGAACUAACUCCUGGUCUCAAGCAAUCCUCCCACCUUAGCUGAAUAGCCAGGACUGCAAACAUAGCUCAAUGCACCUGGCCUUGUUUAUUUCUGAAGGAGAAUGAGAUACUUAUUAAUUUUAGACUAGUGAUAUACUUAUUAAUUUUAGACUUUGUAGAUUAACUCUGUGCAAAUCGUAAUAUUGUGAAGAUAACUACAAAAAGAUAUCAAACAGGGUAUAUGCUGUCUAAAUUAUAUGAGAAAAAAGUAAAAACUUUAAUCAAAGAAAAUAAUUGCCUAAAUUAAGCAUAGAAAAUUUGAUAAUUAUGUUUUUAAAAGAUGAUGUAAUUAUAUACGAAUUAAUAUUUACAAUAAAUAUGUUUAUUGCACUAACUACUCCACUUACAAAAUUUGUAAGUCUGAAUUACAAAGAAAUCAUUUUAUUCUACAUUGUAUACAUAUAUUUAAACACCACAUUAUACCCCAUACAUGUAUACAAUUUUGAUUUUUCAAUUAAUAUAAUAUUAAUCAAACAUAGUAAAAUAAAAUACAGGAAGUGUGGCUUGACUACCUACCACAAAAUAAUAAUAAAAUUUAAAAAACCCUUUUAUAUACACUCUAGAAGAAAGUCACUCAAAACGCAAAAAUGAUAGAGGAAGUGGAUAACAACAUGUGCUUUAUGAAAAGUAGUUAAUAAAAGCAAAAACUACAGUUAAUAUUAAAGUAGAUUUUAAUGCAAAAAUUUAAAGUCUAGUGCAACAUUGUAUGGCACUUCAUAAUUAUGCAUUUCCAAUCAUGAGGAAGGUACUUUAAAUUAUACACACACAUGUACACACACAGUAAAUUAAUCUGUUGAGAAUUUAAGGAAAAAUGUAUCACCAAUUUCAGAACUGUGCCUAGUAUAUACUAAGUACUUUAUAACUAUACCCAGCAUAGGGGAUGUACAUGAACAGAUCAUUAAACCUUUCCAUCUUAAUCUGAUCCUUUUCGAGUUGAAUACUUAUGUCUCCAAGCACAAAGUAAAAGUGAAAGCAUGAAAUAUAUUUCUGCUUCAUUAUUGACAUUCCAAGUGAUAUUUUCUAGUCUAUUUCUUCUUCUUCUUUUUUUUUUUUUGAGACGGAGUCUCGCUCUGUCCCCAGGCUGGAGUGCAGUGGCGUGAUCUCUGCUCACUGCAAGCUCCACCUUCCGGGUUCACGCCAUUUUCCUGCCUCAGCCUCCCGAGUAGCUGGGACUACAGGCACCUGCCACCACGCCAGGCUUUUUUUUUUUUUUUUUUUUUUUUUUGAAUUUUUAGUAGAGACGGGGUUUCACUGUGUUAGCCAGGAUGGUCUAGAUAUCCUGACCUCGUGAUCCACCCGCCUCGGCCUCCCAAAGUGCUGGAAUUACAGGCGUGAGCCACUGCGCCGGGCCGUCUAUUUCAUAUUUUCUACAGCCACUUCAAACCAUGAUUAAAAUUCUAAAGAAUAUCAAAAAUAUUUUUGUUCACAGAUUCUGUUUUCUUAUAAUGAAUGUAAUAUUCUUAAAAGAAAACAAGAUCUAAAACGCGGAAUUUUGAAGCAAAUUCUUCAGGUACUUUUUGGAAAUAAAAUGUAGGAGAGUUCAAUUCAGUUAAUGGAUGAAUUGAGUUUGUGGAAAUCAAAAUCAUACCAUCCAUUGAUGACAUGAAUAUGGUAAAUGAAGAUGCUAAAAUCAUAUAUCCGUAUGUGACCAUAAAUAUGGUGUAUAAAGACAAGUAUCUGAGUGUGUAUGGAUAUAUGUAUGUGCAUGUAUGUAUGAAUGUGGGAAUGUAUGCAUAUCUCUUGAAAAAGAGACAGCAAUACAGACAGAAAAGCUAAACAAAGAGAGAAACAGAAAGAGACAGAGAGAGAGAGAACGGGAAGUGAGGAAAAGAGUUAUUACACAAUUAGGUUAUAGACCUUGAAGUGAUAGCAGUUGAACAUCAUUUUUAUUGCAUUUUAAAAAGAUGUUUCUUCAUCACAAGAACCAAAGUACUGUAUCAAGCUUCCAGAUGGUCUUUAACAGAGCCAAACUUAAGCAUACUUUUGAGAUUUAAUCUACCUUGAAAAAGAAACAUGUAAGUCAAAGAAAAAUGAACAAAGAUUGCCACAGAAUAAGACAGUGCUUAUUUUAAAUGUUUAAUUUUUUUAUAUUUACAUUGCUAUUUUUAAUAUUUGGACACCCUAAAAUUAUUAAUCAAUAUUUUACAAACACUGAAUGGGCUGGGCGCAGUGGCUCGUGCUUGUAAUCUCAGCACUUUGGGAGGCCGAGGCUGGAAGAUCACCUGAGGUCAGGAGUUCGAGAUCAGCCUGGCCAAAUAGGUGAAACCCUGUCUCUAUUAAAACUACAAAAAUUAGCUGGGUGUGGUGGAAGGCACCUGUAAUCCCAGCUACUCUGGAGGCUGAGGCAAGAGAAUCGCUUGAACCUGGGAGGCAGAGGUUGCAGUGAGCCGAGAUCGCACCACUGCACUCCAGCGUGGAAACAGAGCAAGACUCUGUCUCAAAAACCACAAACAAAACAAACAAACAAAGAACACUGAAUAAAGAGGAUUAUGUGAGUCUGUCUAUCCAUGUAUAUGGUGACAGACAUUUCAUAUUGCUAAGUAAAAUUUGCUUUACUUCUCGUUACGUAUGUUUUAAAUUAUAUAACUUACAUAAUUAUUUCUACUAAUAGGAAUACAAGUAAGUACAGGUAGGAUGCCAUAUUACUAUUCCCAUCUUAUCUAAUGGAAAUGUACCUACAGUGGAAUCUCCACAUACUGAGAGGCAGAAGUCUCUGUUGAGAAAAGACCUAGAGGGUAGAAAGAACAACAUGGAGUGUCAGGAAGCCAGGAAAAGAGUAGGUUAAAAUUAUGUUGUGAGAGAGAUGUUCUGAAGUUCGUAUCUCAGCCCCAGAAAUGAAGGGUUAAAUAAAAAGUUUCAAAAAAAAAAAGUAGACCUGGCUGGGCAUGGAGGCUCAUGCCUGUAAUCCCAGCACUUUGGGAGGCCUAGGUGCUUGGAUCACCUGAAGUCAAGAGUUCAAGACCAGCCUGCCCAACAUGUCAAAACUCCAUCUCUAUCAAAAAUACAAAAAUUAGCCUGGCGGUGGUGGGCACCUGUAAUCCCAGCUACUUGGAAGGUUGAGGCAGGAGAAUCUCUUUAGGCGGAGGUUGUAUUGAACCAAGAUCCUGCCAUUGCACUCUAGCCUGGGUGACAGAGGGAAGCUCUGUCUCAAAAAAAAAAAAAAAAAAAAAGAAAGAAAGAAAGAAAGAAAGAAAGAAAGAAAGAAAGAAAAAAGAAAAAGAAAACAAGACUUAUUUAUUUUGUUUUCUAGAUAUUAAUCACAGCUCAUGAUUGCCCUUUUCAAACUUUUUUUUUUUUUCAAAUCUUACCUCUUAUAUGUAGUGCCUGCAGGCAGGCAAACUACAGUGUGAUGAGUAGUAUGCUAAUAUAGUUUGAUAUCUUUCUUAGAUUUUGCUGAAAUAAAUAUCAUUUUGACUUCAUCUUUCCUGAAUCCCUUUAACACCAGUGUCAGCAGGUGUCGAAUAGGAUACAGCUAUAGGAAGAGCAAGAGAUGAGAGUGGAGCCCAAAAACAGUUUGGUAAAGCAAUAUGGGUCAGGGGGGAAUGGCAUGAUUGAUUUUGAGUCUGGAAAGAUAAUCAUGAUUUGUGUGAAUCAUGGACUGAUAUGUGGCAAGACUAGAACCAGAGAAAAUUACCAGUGUUUGCGUACAGUCCAGUGAGAGUGGCUUGCACUGAAGUAUUGUCACCGAGGAAGGAGAAACCUACAGAAACUACUGUAAGUGAAAGAAACAACUGGUAACUGACCAGCUCUUAGUGGAAUAGGAAAAGUCAGGUUUCAGGAUGAUGCCUAGGUUUCUAGUUUUGUCAACUGUGUGAAUGUUUAGGCGAUUUAUAUUAAAAUUGGAAAUGAAAAAAUAUAGUAAAUUUGAGGGUAAAAUAACAAAUUCACUGUCCAAACAGCCGCAUCCAGACCACAUAAUGGGUAAAAAUACAUAAUCACUGGGGCAGGCUGAGGCAUGCAAAGAAUCUAACAGUCAACCAAGAGUAGUAAAAACGGCAUAGUCAUGUGUUACAACUAUAAUACGAACAAUGCCUGAAGGAUUAACAGGAGUUUCACAAGGAGAUUCUCCAACUUUCCCUGAAGACACUGUGCACAGAUGAAAAGAUUUUUAAAAGGACUUAAAAAAAAAAAAAAAGAAACUUAGUUGUGAUGAGAACAUUGCAAAUCCAAUGACCAAACCCAAUGCUUUCUCUUGGCCCAGCAAACACAAAGUCCACUGUUUCUUUUCAGAUAUCCUUUGAGCUGGGGCUGCUGGGAUUUAAAAUGAGGGAGAAAAACAACCAGAGCUUUUGGAAACAAGGCCUUCUGAUGGAGUAAUAAAAUAGAUGCUCCUUCCCUGAACUUCUUAGUGAGAAGAUGUGGGAACUACAGGACAAAAGAAGAAUCAAGAUAGUUGUUAUCUAUCUCUGAACCUCCACCUUCUAGGAGGAAGUAGGAUUACAAAUAGAUGCUCUUUGGACAGAGAGGGGAACAACACACACUGGGGCCUGUUGGGGUUGGGGGCAUAGGGAAGGGAGAGCAUCAUGAUAAAUAGCUAAUGCAUGUGGGGGCUUCAUAUCUAGGUGAUGGGUUGAUAGGUGCAGCAAAUCACCAUGGCACAUGUUUAUCUAUGUAAUAAACCUGCAUGUCCUGCACAUGUAUGCUAGAACUUAAAAUAAAACAAAAGUAGGUUUUUUAAAAGAAGCUCAAACACUUCUAAGUAAAUAAUGAGCGCCACGAACUUUCAGUUCUGCUGAUUUUUUUCCAGCUUUAUGGAAGUAGGAUUGAUAAAUACAAAAUUGUAUUAUAAAACAACAACAACAACAACAAAUAGAUGCUCUGUAAAUGUAGCCUGGAGAAGUUUCUUUACCUCCAUGAGUCUCAAUCAACAGAUGUGUAAAGUGGAGGUGAUGAUAAUGAUCCUUCCUCAUAGGAGAGCUUUGAUAAUGGAUGAUAAUUCAUUUUAUCCAAAAUAUAUACAAAUAUAAAAAAAAAGGCCAGGUGUGGUGGCUUACACCUGUAAUUUCAACACUUGGGGAGAUGAAGGAUGGAGGGUCACUUGAGGUCAGGAGUUCAAGACCAACCUGCACAAUGCAACAAGACUUCAACUCUAUAAAAUAAACUUGUGAAACUAGCUGGGCAUGUUGGUGUAUGCCUAUAUCUCCAGCUAUUUAGGAUGCUGAGGCAAGAGGAUCACUUGAGCCCAGGAGUUGGACGUUAUAGUCAGCUACAAUCACGCCACUGCACUCCAGCCUGGGGUAACAGAGCAAGACCCUGUCUCAUAAACAAACAAAUAAAUAAAAUAAAAUAAAAAACAAUUUGAAAUGAGCUUUUGCAUUUUGCAUUAAACUAUAUUAAAAUUUUAAACAUAUUAGACAUUUUUCUCAUUUAUACUUUUAUAUUCAUGUACAUAUGAAAAAGAACAUUUUUCCCUUAAAACUCAUCAGAAAAAGAAAAAAAAACUUAUCAGGGCUAUUUACGUAUUUUUUAUUUGGGAAAACAACCUUGGCUCAUAAAUCUAUUUACAUAUGUAGUUUGGCUCUUAUAUUUGAAAUCACGUAUUUAUUUUAUUGUUUCUUAUCAGUACCUUCUAGAAAAUCAGAAAACCCAGCAGGGCAGUAAUCAUGUGAGUUUACUAGCCAGUGACUAACUAUGGCAUUCUAGCCUAGAGACACUUGCCUAGGAGGCCACAAUCCAUAUUGUUAAUCAACAUAAGAAUGGGUGGGGGGUGGAAUCUGUUGCUAUUACUUCCCAGUUUUCCUGAACUUUACAGCUACAAUUGCUUCUCUACAUCUUAUCUAUUCUCAUCUUUUCAUGCUGACUAAUGCCAGAUGCUUCUUUACAAUACUUGGGCAACAUUAGUUUCACUGUUGUUGCCGUCAGUUGUUUUGUUUUUGUUGUUGUUGUUUUGCCUUUUGUUAUUGUUUUUAAUGUGUCACUAGAAGAUCCUCAGAACAGGUAGCAUAUUAAAAAUAGAAAGCCUAUUUUAGAGAAUGUUAAUAGCAGGAAUAUAAUAUUCAAAGCAUGUUGGCUAAUUUCUUGGCCAACAUAUCCAAUUUAAUUUUAAUCUUAUUGGCAAUGACAUCAAAUACACACCUCCAGAUUGUUAAAAUAGCUUGCGUGAUACAACACUGAGGUACAUCUUUAAUAUCUAUUUUCUUUAUUCUUUACACAAUUAUAUAUUAUGUAUAUAUAAAUUUUAUAGAUGGAUAGAUAUUUAAGUGUAUAAUUCUAUCAAUUUAAACAUUGUGCUGAAGUGUUAACAUAAAUCUAGGUCCUGCAGAUUUAACUCAUGAUUUUCCAAAACAUGUAUUUUUGGCUUUAAAAACAAUAUUAGGUAUAUUUCACAAGAGACCAUGUACUUGCCUCAAUUUUUAAGUUAUAGAAGUGAACUGUAGAAAAGAAGUGUGAAACAAGUCAUAUUUCUACUUCCUACUUAUAGCUAAGACAGCACUCUAGGGUUGGUGGAAUGGUGAGAGAGAAAUUGCUAAUGCCUCCAUGUUGAAAAUGCAAUGUAUUACAUUAAAGUAACCAAAGCUAGUUAUGAUAUGUUGGUAUGCCUGACCCAUAAACCCCAUUCAUAUUUUUACUGGCUUAAUCUCCUCUGAAAAGCCCAUUUAAUCAAUAGUAUUGAUAAUAGAAUUAAUCGUCAUAGAAUCCUAACUCUGUUUUUAUAUGGGAAAUGAAUUGUGAUUUCUAAAUAAGAACUUACUGAAUGCAUUCUUGAAAUAAGUCUAUUUAUAUGUUGGAGUUUCAAAAUGAAACUCCUGACCCACAGGAAAUGGCAAUGUAACUAAAUACAGAAGACAUAUCAAACAGUAACUAAUUAUAAAAGCAGAAUGUGACAAAUGCCAAACUAGUGAUCUGCCUAGUGAGUGUUUCUGAGGCUCCAAAGAGUAAAAUUACUGAAGUGAGAACAGGCUUCAUAGAAGUACUGAGUUUGAGGGCUUUUUAAUAAUGAGUAACAAGACUGGGGGAAAAAGACACUCUACAACAGUACAAAGGUGUAGGUAUCCAAAUCUAUAAGCCUCUCUUAAAGCUAACUCAGAAUAAUAUCAUAUUCAAGGUUUAUUGAAAAAAAAAACAGAGAAGUUAAGAGUAUUAUUGAUUGACAGGUCAUUAUCCUCUGCUCUUUCUCUUGCUUUCUUUGACAGAUGUGAGGCACACAAUUUAAAGCUGGCUAUAAUCCUUUUCUCACGAUGAUAUAGGGAGAAGAAGUCAGAAAGGUCUUUAUGCAAGGCACAGAAAGAAGAUCUGAAACUUUCUAUUUUCUCCCAAGUCAGAACUGCACCAUGGAUAGUAUUAUAAAGCAAUCACAUAACUACAACUUAAGCAAACCAAGCAGAUUACUGGGAAACAUCCAUGUUGAAUAAAUGGAAUAUCAAGGUUAAGGUAGAAAUACAACUUUCGACUGUAGCUUGUGACAACUUUCUAUUAAAUUUAGUAAACCAUAGCUAUAGAAAUUAAAAAUAAUAUGAUGGAAAAACACAUCUAUGAAAUAUAAUAUCAUGAACUUUGGUGUUAUGUGUAAUCACAGUCCUCUCCUUGACUGCUGGACUUCACAUUACUUCUUCCUUUCUCUCUCUUUCUGUCAUCAGAUCACCUUUUAUUUUUACUUGGAUUUUCUAUCUUAUUCUCUGAUCCAAGUUUUAUUCCCGUGCUUAUGACUCUCAACCUCAGCUUUUUUAUCUUCUUUGAUCCUGAAUAGGAGUAUUCUGUUUUCUAUCAUCCUUCUCCCUUAUUCAUCUCUACUUCUGCUUCAGCUUUUUUCCUCUAUCUUGUGAUCUUUUGGGGUUUUGGGAGCUGGUUCGUCUUCACUCACAAGUUUGGAUUGUGUACCUACUUUGUCAAUGUCUUCUUUCUCUAUCUUGAACCCUUUCUUUUUAUCUUUCUUCCCUUCCUCCAACUCUUUUUUCUCUUUCAACUUGUUCCUUCUUUUUACAAUUCUUCUUAUGAUCAGUCUUUUCGACUGUUUUUCUUAACUUUUGUUUCUUCACCAGUAGCUUUAAUUCUACAUAACUCAUGUGUUGUUCUCUCAGCAAAUAGUCAUCUACCUGGGACCGGCCAUCUCCUACUCUCUAAAAGAGUCCAUCCACAUCACAAAUUUUCAUUUAUUUCUCUUGGGCAGCAAAAUUUUCAAUUGUGAAGUUUGUGGAUCUAAAAUUCACUCUCUCAACAGUCCAACUAAUUUAAUCAUUCCCUGGCCUUCUUCUACCUUUCCUUCAAAUCCUAAUUCAUCAAUCUGCUGCAGGAGUACAUCAAUUUUACAUGUUAGAACCUUUUUCAUUUUUAUUUAUUUUGUCUUUUGGACCACCAGUUCCAGGAGACUGCUGGAUUUGAAAUAAUGGCUGAGUUUAAUUCUACAUUCUACUUCUACAAGUAAGCUCUGUAGGUGCCGCCUAAACUACCUUAGAGCUAACUUUCAUAAAAAUUAAAACUCUUCAGUUUUCAUAGACUUUCAUUCUGAAAUUUUUCACAUGGAUGUGUAGAUAAAUUUUUUGCAACUGUUCCCUUCCUCUAGAGAAGAAUCCUCUUAUCUUCUGCCUGGCAGCAGGGUGUAGUGGGGAACAUCUACCCAUAUAUUUCUGGUGUCUCUAAAUCCAGCUUCCAGGUGACAGCCAAUAAGAAGCCAGACCUUCAGUCAUACAGCCACCAAGGAAAUGAAUUUUGUCAAUAAUCUGAGUGAGACUAGAAGUAGUUUCCACCAGAUGAGAAAUAAACCAGCUGGCACCUUGAUUUCAGCCUAUGCAAUUGAGCAGAGGACACAACUCCUUGCUCAUGGAAACAGAAAUAAUGUGUUUGUUGAUUUAAGCCACAAAUUUUAUAGUAACUGGGUAUGUAGCAAUAAAAAAUGAAUACAACUUUCUAAACUAUUGUACCACCCAAAACUACUAUUUUUAUUGUCAGCUAUCACUCAUCUCUUCUACGCUGAAUUCUACCUAUAUGACUUUGUUCAUGUUGCUUACUCCAUUUAGAACGUUUGAUUCACUACUCUAUGUGUUUCCAAAGCCUUACUCUCUCUUUAAAAUAAUAUAUUAAACUCUGUCGUCUUUGCUUAGGUAUAGCAAUAAAGUUAAAAGCAUGUAUUUCACAACAAAAGUAAUAUUUUUGCUUAUACUUUAUAGCACACAGCUUUUAUAUUAUUAGAUACAAAGUUUAAUUAAUGAAAAAUAGCACUUGAUAUUAUAAUGAUUCGUAGAAUGUAAAGCAUUCAAUGGAUUAUAUAUACAUAUAAAACUUUACAUUCAUACCUGUAAUUAGUUUUAUGAGCUAAGUUAUUACUUUCUUAAUUUGAUCAUGAUGUUAUACUAAAAACAAAGAGAAAUUGCUCAUGUUUUACAGUAUAGGAGUGUGAUUGUGAAACAUGGUUGCAACUGUCUACAUGUGGUUGUUUUCAUUUAUAUUUAGAAUAUUUAAAAUUAAACAAAUAGAGGAGUAGCCACGCUUUCAGUGCUUGAUGAUCACUCACAGCUAGAAUCUACAGUAUUGAACAGCGCAGCCAUGAAAUAAUUGCAUCAUCACAGGAUAAUUUUUAAUGUAGAAUAAUACUUAUGAAACUUUAUAUCCAAAAUGUAUAAAUAAAUUUUAAACAAAAUUUAAUUUUAAAUAAUAAAUUAUGAUUUUAUUUUUAAAGACAUUGAAUAACAUUAAUGACUUCCACUUUUAUUUCAGCAUUUAUAAUUAUUUAACCUUAAAACAUGAAAAUAAGCUAUAUGAUGCGCUAUUAUGUAAUUAUGUGAUUGUCUAGAAUUGAAUAUCUUAGAAGAGGUGAAAAUACGAUUUGAGGACAAGGGAAGAGAGAAAAGGGGAAGGCAAUAAAGGCAAGAUGAAGUGAGGGAAAUAGGAAAAUCAAGAACCCAUCAUCAUAGUGGAGUGGACUUUGUCUUUCUCCAAGAUGCCCAUCUGCAAGUUUUCGUACCUCCUCUGAUACAUACCUUCAAAGACCAAACCAGAUGGGGCAUCUCUGAAGUACUUUUAGGUAACCAAAGACUCUUAGUUAGAGAUAGAGAAAAUAAAUAGUAGUAAUAAAAUAGUAAUAAAAGAGUAAUACAUUUUUAAUAGUAAUAGUAGUAACAAAAUCUAUGUAAUUCCUAAGCACUUUAAAGAAAAAAUAUCAUAUUCUAUUUUUCCAUUAUCUUUCUCUUGAUGUCUUGAAAUAUCUUCCUAAUCAUAAGAAAAAUAUAUUUAUAGAAAUAUUUUGACACAUAAAUUGUGUAUAAGGGGGGAUAUUACUUAAUUUGGCAAAUAAUUUUUUUCUCUAAAUUUGUUUGUAUUUGACAUUUGUUUUGACAAAGUAUUUUAUGACUUUGUUUUCUCAUGGUAUUUUGAACCAACUACAUCAUAUGUAAAGACCUGUGCCACAGAUGGAUAGCUCAUCUCCAGGAGAUUGAGAAAUGGAGUAUGAACCUUAGUUUUAAAUCCAUUUGGCAAUUAGAACUGCAGUUUUACUGUGAACUGUCUUAUUAUACACUUUAUCAAGAUCAUAUGCAUAUAAAGUUAAUUAACUUGUUUGAAUAAUUAACCAAGUAAGAAUUUCAUGAUGAUAUCAUUUUAGGAUAAUAUAUAUUUAUGAAAUUAUAUAUUUACUAAGAGUAGUAUACGGUAAAGGGCUAUGUUUAAUUUAACCAAUCAUGAAAACUAAGAUUGCUUUAACUUACCAGUAGUUCUUUUUAACACAAGAAAGUUAGAUUCUUCAAACAAGAUAUUAUGUGAAAAGUACCCUCUUAUCAGAGGUGAAGAGUUAGUCUUAAAGCAUCCAGAAACAUCUAAACUUUAUGUAAGCCAGAUGUGGCAGCAUGCACCUGUAGUCGCAGCUACUCGGCUGAGGUGGGCGGAUAACUUGAGCUCAGGAGUUCGAGGCUGCAGUGAGCUAGGAUCACACCACUGCACUCCAGCUGCAUGACAGAGUGAGAACCCAACUCUCAGAAACAAGAUAAAAAUUAAAAUUAAAAAAUAAAAUUCACAUGAAACAAAUACAAUGCAAUCAUCUUUAUAUAUAUAUAUAUAUGAAUAUAUUGGCUCAAUCAUUGAUGACUGGAUUGAAUUUUGAAAAGGAAAGCUGCUUGGGAAAAAGCAAAAAGUGUGUCUCAUAAAAUUAUGUAGUCUCACGUAGACUAAAAUAAAAAAUUCCUAUUCUUUCAAGUUGGUAAGCUUUUGGGUAGAUUAUACUUAGAAGAGCACAGAAUUAAUCUGUAAACCACCACAUUGCAUACCUCCAAGUAAAGCAAGAGGAGCCAUUUUACUUUGGAUGGGCUUUGAUUUACUUAGGAGAAGAUUACGGAACUUCAAUGCUUUUGUGGCAAUUUCAAUGUGGCUUCCUUAGCCGGCCAAGUGUUUCUAAGACAUUCUAUUGAUACCCAUCACAUCUUCCACUGCCACUCCAUUGCAAUUCCAUCACUAUCAGCCUUUUUCUAACUACCUGUGUUUCCUCUCAUCCUCUCCAGAUAGGAUAAGAAUCAUCCCUGUCUUUCAACUUGCCUAAAACCUAAGCUAGUGAAGGAAAUUAAUGACAAGAGAAGUGAGAAAGUAGCCAGUAGAAUAAAUACCAAUGGCUAUCUUCUAUACCCAGUCCCCAUUGCUACCAAAAAGUAGUUUCUUCCUUAUGUCUGAGCCUGGGUAUCUCUCUUUUUACAGCUACUGUUGUAGCUCCUCCAACGUAGAAUUGAUUUAUACAGUCUGAAGAGUGAUUGAAAGCACAAUUUCUGCUCCAAAUACUGGGUAUUGCUUCAGUCAUUGAUCUACCCAGCAUAAUGAAUGGUAUCGGUUAUAGAUCUAAGUGAAAUUUGGGAAAGGCAUGGGAUUUUGAGACCCUCUAUAAAAGAGGCUUUUGCACCACUUCCAGAAUAAAAUGUUUUACAGUGAUUGGCAGAGUUUUCAAGAGGAAAUAUAAUGAUAUGCAAGAAAGAGAGAGAUUGUUCUAUUUAGAUCCUUAGGACUAUCAGGAAUUGACUACAUAAUUGUGGAACCUAUUGGAAAAUAAAAUUACAUGGAAUCUUAUUUAAUGUCAUUAAGAGUUUCAAAAAUGACACACUAGAGGAUUAAACUAAGUCUGGGAUUCAUCUAUGUCCCUGGCAGUGAGACUGGGCCAAUUGCUUGCCCAUGAAGUCAGUCUGGCAAGAAUAUUUAAGUUUUUAAUUUUAAAUUGUUAUGGAUACAUGACAGUUGUACAUAUUUAUGAGGUACAUAUGAUACUUUAAUACAAGCAUAUAAUAUGUAAUGAUCAAAUCAGGGUAAUUGAGAUAUUCAUUACAUUAAGCAUUUAUCAUUUAUUUGUGUUAGAAACAUUCCAAUUCCACUCUUUUAGUUAUUUUGAGAGGACAAUAAAUUAUUGUUAACUAUAGUCAUCCCAUUGUGCUAUUUAACACAGCAUCUUAUUCCUUCUAUCUAACUGUAUUUUUGUAUUGAAUAACUGUCCCUUCUCCCUCCACCCCCCCCACCACACUCGCUAAUACUCUUUCCAGAUGCUGGUAACCAUCAUUAUACACUCUAUCUCCAUGAGUUCAUUUUUUUUUAGUUCCCAGAUAUGAGUGAGAACAAACAAUAUUUGUCUUUCUGUGUCUGGCUUAUUUCACCUAACAUAAGGCCAUCCAGUUCCACCCAUGUUGUUGCAAUUAACAUGAUUUCAUUCGUUUUUAUAACCAAAUAAUGCUUUAUUGCAUAUAUGUACCAUAUUUUUUAUCCAUUUGUCCAGUGAUCAACACUUAGGGUGAUUCCAUAUUUUAGCUAUUGUUAAUUGUGCUGCAAUAAACACAGGAGAGCAGAUGUUUCUACAAUAAACUGCUUUCCUUCCUUUUGGAUAUAUACCCAGUAGAGGGAUUGCUGGAUUAUAUGGUAGUUCUAUUUUUAGUUUUCUGAGGAACCUCCAUACUGUUCUUCAAAGUGGUUGUACUAAUUUACAUUCCCACAAACAGCAUAUGAGGGCUCCCCUUUCUCUGCAUCCUCACCAGCAUCCCCUAUUUCCUGUCUCUUUAAUAAAUGUCACUUUAACUGGGGUGAGAUUAUAUCUCAUUAUAGCUUUGAUUUAUAUUUCUCUGAUGAUUAAUGAUGGUGAGCAUUUUUACAUAUACCUUUUGGCCACUUGUAUGUCUUCUUUUGAAAAUGUCUAUUGAUAUCUUUGCCCAUUUUAAGUUAGAUUAAUUUGAUUAUUAAUAUUACUUCUGGCAGCAGAAGUUUGUUUUACUUGUCUUUUAUUUUUUCCUAUCGAGUUCUUUGAGCUUGUCAGGAAUAUUUUAUAAAGUUAGCUGUUUUUUUUUUAAAGAAAUCUUAGCAAUUUUUGACUUUUCAAAAAUAUCAUGUCAUUUUCUCUUUUUUUCUUUUUGCUGCCAGAAGUAAUAUCCCUUAAAAAUAUGACACUAUUCUGUGAUUGUUUCCAGAUAGUCUUAAAGGAGAGAAAUCACAACAUGGCUGGCUACCUCCUAUUGCAGGGAAAGCAUAGAGGGAAUCUUCUCAGCAAAAGAUAGUAGCAAGAAAAAAGGAAGAAAUCGCCAACAGAAGGCUCCUAGAAAGAACAUCAAGAGUAUAAUCUAGAUUCCACAGCUCAUAGCUGACUCUAAGGUGAUUUGAAGCUAGAUUAGAUUCUGCUCCAAAUGCGGUGUAAAAUGAAUCCAUGAUCCAAUGUAAAGGAGGUUAUUGGAGGAAAAAUACUUAAGUGAGUUGGAACUUUAAAGGCACAUCCAACAUCAUGGCUCAGUUCUGGGGUAAUUAGCAUACAUUAUGGGACUUUGAGAACUUCCCCCCACUAUCUUUAGUAAAAAUCUUAACAUGACAUUUUGCAACCAUUCCAUUUUGAGAGUUGGCAAGAGUUUGUACUUAACAAGAAAAAUCUUACAAAUGUGAGUCCUAUAAGGCAUUUGCUAUAUCAAGAAUAGAUUUUAAAAUAAAUAAAACUGAAACAACAAAAACAAAUCCUCAAAGCAGAGGAAAACUUCUUUUCUUUGAGCAGUAUAAUUUGUCUUCAUGUGCAAGGUAGGAGAAAUAUGUGUUUAGCAGGUUUUCAGUUUAGAAUCUCUUCUGUAAUAAACAGUAAAGAAAAGAACCAGCUGUCUAACAUCACCUAAUCUGAAUGAAGGUAAAACUUAAUUUGAAUUAUUUAAGCAACAAUUAGCUAAAUAAGAAUAGUCUAGUUGUGUCUCAUCCAGCACCCCUUUUCGUCUCAGCCUGCAAUGUAAUCUUGGACCUCUUUAUGUAGAAUCUAUACUUUCUUGAGUUUUAUUCAGAGUAUAAGCAGACAUAAAUUUUCUUUUUUAGUUCUGUUCAGAAAUAAGCUUUUCUUUAAGUCUCACAGUCUAUAUGUAUUUUACUAUCACAAUUGCAAACUAUAAGGCAAGGUGGUCUCCUUAAGAUGGAAUUAGCCUUUCAAACAUGUUGGUGAUGUAAAAACUCGGAAGAGUUCCCCUGAUACUGUUCUUCAAAAAUUGUACUUAAAAAUUCAAAAAACAUUCAGAGAAUUAGUUUAAAGAGGGCCUAGUGUUUGAUUUCCUUUCUGUUUUUUUUUUUUCAAUUUUAAUAGGCUAGGUAUCAUUGUGAAAAAUAUUGUCAGAUUAUUAAAUAAUAUUAGUUGCAAGGUUACAUGUCAGAAUAAUGAUGCUGUAUGUAACUAUUUACUAGCUAACUAAACUUGAAAAUAUUAAAGCCUAGAUAAAGCUCUGUCUAAUGGAGGCUUGUCACAUGCUGCAAGCAUUUUCUAUCUAGUUUCAUUAACUCUGGUAUUAUAGAUCAUACUAUGACAUUGCUAGCUCAACUGUUAUGGUAUGAUGUUUUAAACUCUCGAAGUGUUUUCAGAUACUCUUCUAUGAUUAUCUCAAUAAAUAUUCAGGUGAGGUAAGUAAGGCUGACUUGGUGACCUCAUGUUCUUCAUGUAGACAUAAACUUAGAGUAAUUUAGAAAAGCUAUAAGAGUGUCACAUCUAUUUUUGCUUUUAUUUUUGCUAAUUAUCUAGAUUCCAUAAAUGUUCCCUGUGUAAUUUGCAUGUAUAUUCUUUUGAAAACAGCAAAAAUUUAUUUGAAACACAGGUAGUACCAUUUUAAAUCUAUACUUUUACAUUAUACUAAUGCAUGAUAGUAAGUCAUUGAAAUUUACUACAAUUUAUGAGACACUCUUAAAUCUUUCAAUUUAAAAAAAUAAGUAAAUAUUGAUAAUAUUUGAAAAGUUGAGGAUUAAAGACUUAUUUGAAGUAUGUUUCAAAAGUUCCAUGAAAUGGCAGGACAUUUAGUAAUUAUUAAUAAAGUAUAUUCAAUUAAAUAGCUUCCAGAGAUGCCCUUUUAAAUUGUCAUCAAGAGGUGGAGCUGUUUAAUGUUUAGUGUAGUGAAAAUUGGAUAUAAGAAAUGGAAUUAAAGGAUUUCACAGAGCAUUUUUUACUAUCAUAGGAUAUCUUAAUGUUCCUAUAUACCUGCUGUAUUAUAUUAUAGUUUUAAUUGCUGAUCAUCUCUUCUUACAUUUUUUUCAAGGCACCAUGUAGCUUCAAUGUGAAUAAACAACCACUAGAUGGCAAAUUUUCCAUUUUUUAGGACACCUAUAGAUGGUAUAUCUAAUUUUGAGAUGGAUUACAUGCUUUAUACUUAGUCAAUAUUUAAUAAAUUUACUUUUUUUGUAACUUUUAGCUUCUUACUCAAAAAAUAAUAGCAAUAAAGUUCAGUGUAACAUGUCAAGAACACAGAAAACGGUCUUAUAAUUUUCUGGUAAUAAAUAUUAAAAAUAUGGAAUUUUACUUACACUAUUCUCUCUGAUAUAAACACAUAUGAGAAGUUUUUUAAGUUUUACAAUUUAAUAAUACAAAUUUUUGUAAAUUGCACUAUACAGUGAACACUACUAUUAUUCAAGACGUUCUAUAUAAGUAAAAAUUCACUCAUUCUCUUCCCUCCAUCACAGAAUUUACAUUGUAAAAUUCUGCCCCAUUAAUGUAAAGCCUAUGAGCAGUAUUCAUACUUCCCAUUGUUCAUCUAGUAUUGGCAAUGAAGAUAAAAGAAAAAAGUUUCCUAUGGUUACACAGUGAAGCCUUCUGUGCAGAGAUGCUUACUAGAAAAGUAUUUUGACUUCCCUUUUUCUCAUCUCCUAUCAAGAAGAAGGCAACAAGACUCAAUGUACAUAUUUCAGCAUCAAAUUCUGUAAAGUAAGUAUAAUGGAUGACUCCUUGGGCCAUAUAACAAACUCAAGAAGUAUUUGGCCCCAACAUAUGAUUCAAGGCAAGUGAGAUUUACAUUUUUAUGCAAAGUAAGGAUAAUAAAUACAAUAGAUAAGUUUAUGUGAUUUAUAAUAAACAUUAAAAAGAAAUACACCAUACAAUAAGCUUUUUGUCCCAUAAUAACAUUUUUUCAUUUAAUCGUAGUUUAAUGAAAGUUGUUAAUUAAACUAAGAUUAAACAUUAGUUUAAACAUUAAACUAAUGAACAGCUUUCGUUAAACUAAGGUUUAAUUAAAAAGUUGUUAAAUUUUUUAUAUGGCAGAAUAGUAUUUCAUUAUAUGACUAUUAACAAAUUUAUUUAUUCAUUCUUAAUCUAUUUAUGUAUUCUUAUACUUAUAUAGCACUAUCUUGAUUAAUGUAGCUUCAUAACAAGUCUGGAAAUCAGGAAUGUUAGUUCCCAAAUUUUUUAAUUUUUCAAAAAAUUAUUUUGUUUAUUCUAGGUCCUUUGAAUUUUUAUGUAAAUUUUUAGAAUAAACUCAUCAAUUUGUAACAAAAAAGCAUGCAAAGAUUUUCUUCAGUGAUAUGUUCAUUUUAUAGAUCAACUGGAGAAGAAUUAACCACAUUAGUAGUGAGUCUUCUGAUCUAUGAAUAUUAUAUAUUCAUAUUUCUUCAUUAUGUGGCUCUUUCUUCUCAGCAUGGUCUUUCAGUGUAUGAGUCUUUCACAUCUUUUCUCAUUUUUAUUAUUUCAUAAUUUAUUAAUAUUAUAACAUGUAUCAUCUUUACAAUUAAAUGCCCAAUUAUUCAUUGUUAAUAUAUAGAAAUACAAUUGAAUUUUGUAUGUUUAUUCUGUAUCCUGCCACGUUGCUAAGCUUGCUACAUUUUUUUGUCGAUUUCAUCAAUUUUUUUAUAGACAAUUGUAUCUGCAAAAAGUUUUAUUUCUUCAUUUUUACAGAUAUGACAAACUUGUAUUCAAAUAAAAAGUUUUGUAUUUUUAGUAGAGACGGGGUUUCACUAAGUUGGCCAGGCUGGUCUUGAACUCUUGACCUCACGAUCCACCAACCUUGGCCUCCCAAAGUGCUGGAAUUACAGGCAUCAAGCCUUUUUAGUGCAACAGGAUUUUUGCUUAUAUUUAUAUUUCAAGAUCUUCAAAACCAUCUUUAAUUUUGCUCAGAUUAUCUGUAUCUUCAUCAGAUCUUUUCUUUAAAGUUUUAAAUAACUAUCUUAAAUGAAGAAAAGUAAACUAAUCCUUAUCUGACCUAAAUCAAUAUGAAAACUUCAGACCAUUUGUUUUUUACAACUACCACAAACAUACCUAAAAUUAUUUUAGAUGGUACAAUAAAAUCAAUAAUGUGAUGUAUUGGUCAUGACAUUGAGACUCUGAUUAAAAUGCUGCCCGUUUUUAUGCUCAGAAACUUGAUUUAAUUCCAACAUAUGCUACAGAUAACAGUUUUCUGUAUAUUCUAUAAGUGUUCUUGGUCAAAAAUAACCAAAAUUUGACUUAACAUGUAGACAUGAGAAGCAUAAUACCUGAGGAUACAUAAAUUAUCUUUGGAGACUUGUAAAAAGAAACCAACAAACACAAAUAUCUGAUUAAUAUUAUAUUCUAUGUUAGCCAGAUACCAAUUUUGAUUACAUAUGUAGGCUUUCUUUAUUUUUCUAAACAAUUUGAAAUAGUACCAUAGAAAGGCUAAUCAUACAGUUUACAAAAUAUUCAUUAAAUAUUUAUAGAAGAAAAAUACAAUAUUGUCCUUCAACUAGCAUGUUUCAUUGUUGUAAUUUAAAAAUUCCUAUUGCAUCUUGUAUUUAUAUAUAAGUACAUCGUAGUAUAAACUACAGUUUAUACUACCUUUCUUACAAGUAGUUCUGGAGUUUUGGGUACCUGAAAAUCCAAUUCAAUAGCCGUAUAUAUAUAUAAUUUUUUUUUAAGACGAAGUCUCGCUCUUGUCCCCCAGGCUGGAGUGCAGUGGCGCGAUCUCGGCUUACUGUAACAUCCGCCUCCAGGGUUCAAGCAAUUAUCCUGCCUCAGCCUCCCAAGGAGCUGGGAUUACAGGCACUUGCCACCACGCUUGGCUAAUUUUUGUAUUUUUAGUAGAGAUGGGGUUUCACCAUGUUGGCCAGGCUGGUCUCGAACUCCUGACCUCAGGCGAUCCACCCACCUUGGCCUCCCAAAGUGCUGGGAUUACAGGCGUGAGCCACCACACCUGGCCAACAGCCCUAUUUCUUACGAUUGUUUUAGUUUCUCUAAAGCACACUUGCUCAGAGAGAAGGGUGCCUAGAUAUUGUGGACUCCUGGGUAGAACACCAUGUAACGUUUAUAAAUUCAUCCUAACAUAGACAAAGUAAGCUUUCCCCAAAUAAGGUAUUAUUUUUGCUAGUUUUGGUUUAAAUAAUAGUAAACUAUGUAACACAGAAACCUAGGAUAAAGUAGCAAAAAAAAAAAAACAAAGUAAAAUUGAGUAAGUUUGUUCCAUUAUAUUAUUUUUUACUCUAAAAUUUGGGGUGGUAAAGAAGAUGAAUAUUAUUUCACUUUAGUUUCAUAGAAGUAUAGUUUGAGAACCACGUUCCUGAGAAAGUAGUCCUUUAUCAUUUUCAAAGUUGGUUAUCCCCUUGACUGAGGCAGAGAUGAUUAUUGUUUUAAACAAGUGCCUGGUACAUGUCCCACUAAUCUCCAUGAGAUUUUUAAUGGUGUGUGCUCUCUUUCAGUGACAAUACUUUAUCAAUAGUUCCAAUAUUCAUAAGCAGAUUUUCUAUCCUAAAGCCCUAAUUUGGUCUCCAAAAUAAUUAUUUCUUUCCAUUUCUAGGUUAUAUUUGCAUAUUGUUUAUUAAUUAUAAAAUAAAAUACACUGAAUGAACUAUAAUUUAGAAAAUAAUAAGGUGUUUUCUAACUUGGGCUAAGAAGUCAUCUUUGACUAAGGCUUAUCUAGAAUUUUUCCAUCACUGUCAAUUUAAGAAGUCUAUUUAAACAUUCAAACACAAUCUCCACCAAGGGAAAAAGAAAAUUAUUUCUCCAUAACCUCAGAUGCUGCCUCUUUUCUUUUGUUCUGUUUGUUUGUCUAAGCAUAGAGAAAUAAGAUUGGGCAAAAUGGCCAAUAUGGUAUCUGGAGUCAGAUACAACGGGUUAAAGUCCAGCCUUAUUAAUAACAAGUCUGUGAUUCUAGGAAAAUUAAUUACCCUCUUUAUAUUUCAGUCUUCUUAUCUAUGUAAUCAUUAUACCAGAGGGAUACAUAAAUGUAGCAGGAUUAUAAGAUGUUAUUAAUUUUAACUUACGCAUAUAAAUAUUCAACAUGCUAACUGGCAAAAAGCAAGUUUUUAAUCAAUGCCACUAAAUAUGAUUAUAUCAAAUAUUUAUUCAUUUGACAGUAUUUAUUGAGUAACUACCUGCUCCAUGGUAAGGGUAGAAUGAUGAGUAAAACAGACAUACUCCUCUCCACUUGGAAAUUCACUUACAGACAAACAAAAUCAACACAGAUAUUCAUAUAUGGUUACAAGCUUCAAUAAGAAUUUUUUUAAAAAGUAGAGAACAGUUAUUCUAAGAAGACAAAACACAGGAUAUGAAUUUGUUUCGGUGAUGAAGAACUCCUUUCCUGGGAAAGGUACAGCACGUUUAUGCAUGACAUCUCUGUGAUGAAUAGGGAUGAACUCAGGAAGGGAGCAGUUAAGGAAAGGAUAGUCUCUAUGCAAAGAAGGAAAACAACUUUGUGAGUUCCAGAGGCAGUGAAAAAUUAUAGGGAAGGAUAUUAAGUCUGGAAAACAGAGGGUAAGGGGAAGGUUGGUAAGUGAAUGGCCUACAUAGCAGACAAAGGACAGAGCAUUCAGAACCAGGUAAUCCAUGGUACAGAUUGUCAUCAGUUGGCGUCCAUAGUAUAAACUGUAAUCAGCGAGUGUUGGAAGUCCUUUGGUGGGGAAAAAGGAGAAUGAGGGAGUGAGGGAUGUGGAAAAAUAUUUCACCAUUCUUAAUUUUUAUUGACUUCAGUGUAGAGAAUGGACUUGAGGAGGCAAAGAUAAUGAGGGGAGGUGAUAAGAGAUGGAGGUUGCAAAACUAGAGUUGAAAGAAGAUCGUAGCUUAGAUUAGGCGCAGACAAUGGCUGUGAAGAGAUGUGGGACAUGCAUAGGAAAGAUUUUCUAAGCAAAAGCAGCAAUUCUUGAAAGAAUAGUGAAAUUGAGGGGAAAGAAGAUAUUGACCAAUGUGACCCUGGAAUUCUGGCUUGCACAAACUAAUUCGUAGAAAGCUAUUCUCUGAAAUACAGUAGAAGGAAAUUGAGCAAGACAGAAUAGGAAUUAUAAGCUCAAUUUUGUACAUGUUAUAUUUGACUGGACUCUAUGACAUCUAUCAAAGAGGUCAAGAAGAGAGGUGGCUAUGUAAGACUACAGUUCAGGAGAGGGGAGGGCUAGAUUUAGAGAUGCAAAUCUGUAAAGACAGUUUAUGGAUGGUAGCUAAAACCAUGGGAUAAAAUGACUGCACUCUGUAAGAAUUCAGAAUCUAAAAAAGCAAGCAGUUAAAACAUGACAUGUCUUCUCCCACUCACAUCACUAUAAAAUGCAAGAAUAUAAAUAUUGCUCUUUGGUGUUUUAGUUUACUACAUAUGGAAUCUUGGGCAGAAAUAUCCACAACAAAAAUAUAUGGUUAUCUGAAUAUCCAGGAAAUCAUAUACUUUCUAAUGUAUAUUUAGACAGGGAAGUAGAGAAAUUAAUGAUUAAUAGGCCAGUGAACUAUUAUAGGAAAAGUAUUGUUUAUGUGGUCAAGGUAGUAGAGCACUGAGAUUUAUUUAGGGUGGGAUGCAGGUAGUGAGCAUUUAAUUUAGUAAGGUAAGAAAAAGGUUGGGUUUUGGCCCUAAAUUGGUUUACCACAAUAUUUCCCACUACCUUUAUGUUUCAAGUCUAUGAUAAUUUGACCUUUCCAGAAUUCUGAGAUUGUGAGCAACUUUCCCCAAAUGUCCUCCAUCUGCUGUUCUAACCGGUUUACUCAACUGAGCUAGUCAUACUUGUCUAAAGCAAUGUUCUAACUAGUAUAAAACUAAAUGAAUAAAGAGAAGAUCAAUAAAAUGAAUAAAGAUAAUGUCAGAGAAAGGGCCAACUCAUGUUUUAUAUGUAAGGAUUAAUUUAGCAGAAAAGUCAGAAUUUGUAAAAUACAAUGCUCAUUAUUAAAUAUGACAUCAUUGUUUGGUGAUAUGAUAAUGACCUAAGUGAUAAAAAUUGUCAUACAGCAUUCAUAUAGUUUAUGUAGUCACUGAUCAUCAUAAACACCAUGUAGCUUUUCUGGAUGUGCUGUCACAGAAAAAAAUUAAAUCCACAUUACUCAUGAUUUUGCAUACAUUUCUAAAGCAUAAUAAAAUUUCCAUUCAGUAUUUUACUUUGGAAAUGCUGUCUUUUCUGGGCAGUGACUCCUACUUUUACUGCAUAUUAAAAUAUUAUAUACUGAUAAUGAUUAAUUGCUAGUUUUACUAGUGUGGUUUUCAAUCAAUCAUGAGCAGAGAACCAAUUCUCUAUGAAAAUUUAAGAACAUAUAAAUCCAUCAAAUACAUACAGUGCUAGCUGAUUUGUCUAGUAAGAAACUAGACUAAAAAUAAAAUUGGACCUGAUUUUCAAUAGUUUACACAUGCCUAAUCUCAUAAGAUAAUUUGAUUCCAACAAUAAAGAUGAUUUUGGUUGGUAGAUGGGUUAAUUUAGGAAUUCUUAUCACUCACAACUCUUUGUGAAUAAAAAUAAUAAACUAUUUUCAAAAGUAAGAAACUUGUUAAGUCUGGUGUUUUUUCCCUAACUAAACUGUUUGUUCUGUUAUUAGUUUUAAUUUAUUAUAAUUUCUUAAGUCACUACUCCAUUAAUGUUUUCAAAACUCCAAAUUACAUAAAAGUCUUUAUAAACUACUAAUGCUGAAUAUGCCUUAUUUUAAAAUGUAUUUGGUAUAAAGUAAACUUUAAGAAAAUAUGAAACAUUAAUAUUUCUAGGAGCUUAUUCAAAGAAUUUAAAAAUUGACAAACACACAUAAUGUUUAAAUUUCUUCCUGAGCUGUUAGAGUCUCAAAACUAUCAGUUUUAAUAAAAUAGUAACAGAUAAAUACUUAACCUAGUUUCCUUUUGAAUAUAUAAGGUGAAUUGCUUAAUGUUUCUGGAUAAUUCCUCCCAAAAAGUGUUUAUAUUUACUCAACAAAAGGGUAUAAAAAUUUCAGUACAUUUGAUUUUUUAAAUUAUAAAAUUAUAGGUAACUAGCAUAUUAAAUAACUUUUAAUAACAUUUUAUAACUUCAUAGUAUUCAUAGUACCUAACGUUAUAAUUCUUUUUCCUAAAAUAUUUCACUUAAUGGAAUGAUAGAUAAACUUAUAUUUAGGUCUCCUAUAUAUGGAAAAACCAUUGACACAAUUGAUAAUUCCAGAUUAUACUUCUCCCUCAUUAAAAUUAUCUUACAUUAUAGUACAUGUCUUAAUAUAACAUUAGAAUAUGUUCAAUCUCUGAAAAUUAAAAUUAAAAAAUAUAUAUAAUGUAUAUAAUUGAAAAUUUUUAAGGAUAUUUUUAAAUCUAUAACCACAUAUGUCAGCAUAAUUAGGGAGCACAUAUAUACAUACACACACAUAUAUACACAUAUAGGUUAUACAUAUAUAAUUUUAUCUAUUCUUUUUGGUACUUAAUCAAAUUUAUAAGAAACUGAUUCAAUCAACCAAAAGACUAAAAAAGAUGCUUCUGUUACUAAUUUGUUACUGUGUAGUAAUUAAAAUUUCUUAAUAUAUACAUUAUCAUUUUCCUAUAUUUCUCCUGUAGUUCUUCUUUAAUAAUGUAUUCUGAUAUCACAUGAAUCUAAAUGCAAAUCAUUUCAUAUCCUGACUAUAUUCCAAAACCAGUAAUGAUGUGGUUUAGAAUAGUAAUGAGUCAAUUCUCUCAAAAUGUAAAACUUGGGAGUUUUAUGUCUAUGAAGGAUUUUCUGUAAGUCUUUAAAGUAGCAGAACUCUACACAAAGAAGCAUAAUAUUUGAAAUAAACUAGAAAUAAAUAUUGAGCUGUUUACCAAGGAGACAAAAUUUCAAUACUGAGCCAACAAAUCACAACAGCUAAAUGCAAAGGGACUCCACGACAGUUUAACUCAAAGACUUACUCUGAACAAGGCAAGAGUGAACACAAAGUAAAAGGACCAGAAGAGAAGUUGGGACAGAGAAUAAGACGACUGCAUUUCAGGAGCAAAAAGAGAGGUAAAAUAAUGUUGCUGUCCAGUGGCCUCAUUUUGUCCACCUCAUUACUCCUGGAAUAGAUUCAAACCACAGGGACCUUAGAUAAUAUGCUAAGUCAGUUACUAGGCCAAUAUAUGAGAUGCAUUCUGAUGAUGUGUAAAGCAAAAUUUCAUCUUCAGAUAAUGGAACGACUGAUAUAAUUUAAUGACGGUAGAUGACAGAAGAACACCAUAAUCUCAGGAAUAUGAGAACUAUUCCACUUGAAGGCUUACAAAAAUGCAUGUAAGUUCAAUUGGUGGCUACAACUUUGAAAACUUCCAAAAAGAAAAGUGAGGUGUCUGAACCAAUAGAAAUUAAUGAGCAAACUUGUAAUGAAAUUAGAACUUGAGUAAUCAAAACCAGGGUGGCAUCUCUUAACCCACAUUUUCAACCUGAAACAUUUUAGACUUAGUAGCCACAUGAGCACACGCGGUGAAAUGAGUGGAAAUUGAGAGAUGCUUGGAAGCCCCGUGGGGACUUACUGUACCUGUGUCCACAUCCUUCACCUGUUGCCUGGCUAGAGUUGUCUGGCUCCACUUUGAGCUCUUGCAGAACCAGCCCUUUUUCGUGUGGUCCAGGAAAGUCCAUGCCUGGCACCACCUCCUCCUCUAGUGACUCCACGUAGAAGAGAGUCCUGGCUGGCUGCUGAGUGCCCUGCCCAGGAGCCCCUUGCUGCAGCCUCGUGGCAACUGGAAGCAGGGUGCCAUUCAGCGGAUUGAAGGAAGAGGAGGAAGAGGACGGGGAGGACGAUGAAGAGGAAGAGGAGGAAGGCUUCUUCCAGAAAGUGCUCACACCGCUUCUCUCUUGGCUUUUGAGCAGGCGACUCUGGCUGGGUCCCCAGUGCUCAAAGCUGCCACUGCCGUCCUGUUGCAGGCAGCCUCCCCCCGCCGGGCCGCCGGUGGAAGGAGACGGGUGGCUGAAGAGUUUCCAGCGGAGUCGCAGAAUGUGCUUCACAUCGAAGUCUUUUCGCCCAGAGCCUGACAUGCUUUACGCACAGAAGGCAAAAGGCUGGCAGCUCACGCAGGAUUCUGGAGGCUGGGAAGUUCAAGACCAAUGCACGAGAAUUUGGUCUAAAGAGAAUCUUCUUGCUCUGAACACACAUAGUAGAAGGCAGAAGGGCAAGAGAGAGAACAAAGUCUGUGUCUCCACAUGGCAGAAGAGCAGAGGAGACAGAACCUACUCCUCUAUGGCAACCACCCCAUCAAUGACAAAAAUCCUAGAAGGAUGUAUGUAUAGGAAGUUGAAGUGUUGAGAAGAGAAUGGCUCAGAGUCAAGCGGGAACAAGAUUCAAACUUCAGAGAGAGAGGGAAGAAAAACAUUUAAAUAUAUCUGGCAUAAUCCAAGACUAUUUACGACAAGUGUUCUGUGUUUCUAAUAAUAAAACAGACUUCACCUCGGAGUACCUGCAGAACUGGGACCCCAAUGACCAGGGAGAAUGAAGAACAACUUGUUGAAGGUAUAGAGAAGGCAGCAAAUCAUACAAGAAGGUCCAUCCCAAACCAGAGAUAGUAUAGAUAAAUCUCUCAUGUUAACUAUGGAAAAAAUAAAGGAAGAUGACGUAUUUUAAUAGAAGGGAAAUUGCGCUUAUUGGGAGUAAGAACACUGAAUUGACUGAAUAUCUUAAAGAGAGUUAGGAAGUGAAAUUCUCAACAGGUGAUUAUUCUUUGACCAAUUUUGUCUUAUCUCUUAUCCACAUUCUUCCCUGCUCUUCCCAAUACAUGUGUAAGAAUAUCCAAGGGCACACACAUACCAUAAGCAGGAAUGGUGUCCUAAGGAAAGUCAAUAUAGAGAGUAAGAAGUAUAUCUGUCACAAUGUGUACAUGUAUACAUCCUAAAUAUUUGUACAAUUAAUUUACUUCUCUUCAUUUCCAACACUCCUAGUCUAUGCUAUGAACAUCUCUUACCUAAAAUGCUACAGAUGUCCCCUAAAUUUUUCCAUAAAUCAGUUUUUUCCUCUCCAAGCUGUAAGCAGAAAUGCAUUUUUAAAUUGCAUAUAUGACCGUGACACGUAUCUGUCUCAGUUUAUAGAACAGGUCUCUAACAGGGCCAGCAGCUUCCAGUCACUUCUGUCCCUUACCUUUUCUCCAGUCUCAUUUUACAUAUUUUUUUACAUGCUCUCUAUAUUCCUGUAAUUAAAUAUUACUUUCCCCUCAAUGCCUUUGGACUGCUUCUUUCCUCCACAUUAAAUACUUUUUACCACUUCCCUCAGUUCAGUUCAUUCUCCUCCGUGUUUAGAGCUCAGCUCAGAUAUCCUUUUCUCAUGGAGACAUUCUCUGGCCAACCCAGACUAGAUCAUUUUCCCUUGCUGUAUACUUUCAUACCUCCCUCUGUCUUUCCUUCAUAACACUUUGGUAAGUGUGUACAACUGCAUCCUUGUUUUUAUUUAAUUUCCUCUCACUGCCAUGUUCUGUAAACUCAAUGCAAGCUGAGUCUGCCUAUUUAUUUCACUAUGCGACACCUAACUCCUAACAAAGUAUUAAACAAAAUAGGUGCCAAAAUAUCUGUUAAGCCAUUGUGUGAAUGUAUAAAUGAAUAAAGAUAUGAAUACAGAUACACUAGUCUAAACACGUUUGCAUGGCACAUACCUAUAUGUGUUCCAAAUAGAUAACAAGGAGAAUCACAAUUGAUCAUUGCCAGAAGAAAAAUCUGGUAAAACUUUUACUUUCCAGAUAUUUAAAUAGCAUUCAUGUUAAAAUUUUUAGUUCACUUUUAUAAUGCAUUGAAAAUACUUAGGGACAUUAUUUACUUAUCAGAAGUUUAUUUUACUCUUUGAAAAUAUAUUGCUUACUGGACUAUUCACAAUAGCAAAGACAUGGAAUCAACCUAAGUGUCCUUCAGUGGGGGGACUAAAUAAAGAAAAUGUGGCAUAUAUAUACCAUGGAAUACUACACAGCCAUAAAAAAACAAAAUUAUGAUUUUUUUUUUUUUUUUGGCAGCAACAUAGAUGCAGCUGGAGGCCAUUAUCCUAAGUGAAAUAAUGCAGGAACAGAAAACCAAAUACUGCUUAUAAGGGAGAGCUAAACAUUACUCAUAGAAAUAAAGAUGGCAACAAUAGACAUUGGAGACUACUAGAUGGGGAAGGGAUGGAUUAAAAGGGCUGAAAAACUAACUCUUGGGUACUACGCUCACCUCCUGGGUUACAGAAUCAUUCUUAUCCUAAACCUUAGCAUACACAAUAUACCCAGGUAAGAAACUUGCACAUGUACCCCCAAAUCUAAAAUAAAAGUUGAAAAUUAA